CAAAUCACAAGCAUCAUCAAGUGACAACUUACCUGUGAUUCACAGCCCUCAGAAAUUCAGGUCAAUAUCACUGCCUAAUGUCCUUUAUGAAGUGGCAGAAAGUCAGACAUCUUCAUGUCACAUUUCAUGCCUUAUAACUUCCAAGAAGUUCUCUCGACGCUGUUCAGUUACCCUUGACAGUGCUGUAGAUGGCAGUAUUUCACAGAGCUCACCUCCCUGCCUUAACCUGCGGCUAAGGACUGCAAUACAGAGAAUACACUCUAAGGGCGCUUCAAGAAUUUUCAGCUCAGGCAUUUCCACAGCAUACCACACACGCUUAUGCUUGCAGUAAUUUGUUUGAGGAGGGAGGAGACACUGGCAUAGGCACCUGAACUGCAGCUUCACUGUUACAAUAGCAUGAUCUUUGCAAGAGUCCAGACACAGGUGGAUCCGAUUGGCCACCAGACUCAAACAACUCUCACCAGAAUCCAAUCAAGCAAUCAUCGCAGGCACUUUAAUGUAGCUGUUUGCAUUAAGGUUUAUCCUGACCAUUUUCAAGGCAGCACAGGAGUCUGCAAAGAAAAUGAAGGACUGCAGGUCACAGCUACCCUGACUGUUGGGCUAGGCUGAAGACCUAGCUGGGAGCCCUGCACUAAGAAUUGUCAGCUCACAGUUUACACGAGGUUAUCUCUUUCUAAUAUAUUGCUAGGACACUCUCACCUAUGCAAAUAUAUAGAUGCACACGUGCAAAUUAUAUUCUACAGGUUCAGCAAGUCAUUGCAGCAAAGCAAGAUUCUACAUAGGCCCUGUAUCACACCC